rnacentral:lncRNA from 1 species
GGCGCCAGCAGCGCGCGCAGGAGCCUCGGGCCGGGCGCACCGCGGCGGCCACCUCUCGGCCCCGGCCGGCUUACGCAACCACCUCGCCUCCGUCAUCCGCGCCCUAAUUGUGCAGGGGGCGGUGUCUGUGUGCGGCGCGUUCUCUGCCCGCCGCGGGCCGCCGCGCUCCCCGGGGAGACGCGCGAGGGCCUGGUCACCGCCGCCCACGCAGCCCCGCGGGGCUCGGCCGCAGCCGCUCCCCCCCCGCCCCCCGCGGGCGGCUCGCCAGCGCCCCCCUCGCGCCUGCCCGCGCCCGCCCCGAGGAGGAGGGGCCCCCGCCGGGGUCCGCGCCACGCCCGGGUCCUCGGUGGGCAACAGGUAGCCGCGCCGCUGCGUGCUCGGGGACACACAAAGCGCCUCCGGGAGUGCGCGCGGCGGCCGCGGGGGGGGCGGCGCUGGGAGAGCCGGCCGGGGGCUCGGGCCCCUCCGCCGCCCCCCGCCCGCCCGCGGGCCCGGCCGCUGCGCACCCCCGGAGCCGGGCGCGGGGCGCGGGGCGCGGGGCGCGGGGCGCGGGGCGGCGGCCGCGGAGGGAGGCGGGCGGGCUGGCGGGCGGGCGGCGGCGCGGCGCGGAGGGGGGGCGGAGCGGGCGUGGGGAGGGGCGGGGAGGGGCGGGGAGGGGAGGGGAGCGGAGGGGAGCGGAGGGGGCGGGGAGGGGAGCGCAGGGGGCGGAGGAGGGGCGGGCCGGGGGCGGGGCCGCGGAGAGCCCGCCCCCGCCGGCCGCGGCCAUUGGCGGCGGGCCGGGGGCGGGUGCGGGCGCGGCGAUUGGGGCCCGGGCCGCCCGUCACGGCGAGGCUGGCGGGCGGCGACGUAGCGCGGCGCUCGGAACUGACCUACUAACACACAUCUCCCGGCGCGGCCACGGCGCCCGCGGACCCGGCGCGCCGCCCGCCGCCGCCGCCGCCGCCCGCCGCCCGCCUCCCGCGCCGCGCCCUCGCCGCCGCCCUCGCCGCCGCCGCCGCCCCGGAGGCCCAGCCCGAGCCCCGCGCGCUCGGGGCCCCGGUGCCCGGCCGCCCGCGCGCCCUCCCGCCCUCCCGCCCUCCCGCCGCCCGGCUCGCCGUCCCGAGAGCAGGAACACGGGAACCUAGGAGGACGACCCCUACUCCCUUCAGUGAGAGGAGCCGGAGAGCUUUGUUCCGGACCGCAGGACGGGAGGGCGCGUGUUGAUGGCUUGCACGCUGCAGCUUGUAAAGCAUUUGUGAAUACUGGGGG